ensembl:snRNA U2 U2 spliceosomal RNA
UGUCCUCCAUCGGAGGUCUAUAUUGAGCAGAUUCUUUUUGGUAUUGGGUGGUGGAACCGGAGCGUGCUCCAUCCACUCCAUGCAUUGACCUGGUAUUGCAGUGCUUCCAGGACCGGUGC